UCUCCGUUGGUGAACCAGCGGAGGGAUCAUUACAGAGUUGUAAAACUCCCAAACCCACUGUGAACAUACCUCUGUUGCCUCGGCGGCCUACCUGGCAGCUACCCUGUAGCUACCCUAUAAGGUGGUUACCCUGUAACGCUCCGCCGGUGGAUUUUCAAACUCUUGUUAUUUAUUGUAAUCUGAGCGUCUUAUUUUAAAUAAGUCAAAACUUUCAACAACGGAUCUCUUGGUUCUGGCAUAGAUGAAGAACGCAGC
rnacentral:misc_RNA from 1 species